rnacentral:lncRNA from 1 species
CCUGCUGAGUAGCUGUCAGCAGCAUCGCUCCUCAGGCCCGCCGUUCCCAGCGCGCUCUGAGCCGCCAGGCCCAGCUCACCAGGUCGUUGUCAAGCAGGGCAGGGAAAGUUAAAGAGUCAGGACAACAUGAGGGUAAAGAAGGAAAGUGGCUAAAAAUAACUCCAAGGGGAGAGCGGAGUCUUCACGCCUCACAGCGACUAGCGCUGCUCUGGGAAAGAGGAGACGACAGAGACUGAGCUCUCUGUACCCCACCCCCAGCAGCCUGUGGGGUGACCUGACCUCCUCCUGUGUCCAUCAGAACCUCUUCUCCAGCUGCCAGAGCACCAGUGCCCCCUUCUGCUUUCACCUCACUGCAGGAGCCCGGCUCCUGGCCCCAUCUCAUAGAGCACACUGGGCCAGGACUGCCCCCAACAACUCCCGCACUAGGAAAUUCUGUCUGGGCCUGUAGCAAUGAAAGGAGAACGCAUCCCCUGCUUGCAGUCUGAGGAAAGGUCCUGCCUGUGGGUGAUCGGUUAGGAGAUUCCAGGCACCUGUCUGAUCACCAUGGUGCACUCCCAGUACUGGGGUUUGCUUGCAUCUCAAUGACACUCAGGAUCAGCAUCGCACUUUGCAGAAUGGACCUGAACUGUAGCAGUGGGGUGUUCUCGCUGCAGGUCGCUGCCAUUGAUCUUCAAGUCUCAUGUCCGAGAAGACUCUGCAUUUGCCUAUUAUGGAUCCAUCAUUCCAAAUGAGAAGGAAAAUCCUCAGGGGAAAUACAUGGUUCUAAAAAACCGAGCCAAACAAGCCCUCCUCAGACGGGCCGUGUGGAGAGUCCUGCUUUUUCUAAACCAGAUACAAACUAACACGGCUGCGACUCUGAAACCUCUGAGGUCCUUGUUUGUGGUAUUUGGGUUCUUCUGCUUCCAGUCCCAGAUUGCUCUAGGAAUUGCCAGCCGCACAUCAGCAAUACCCUGGAAUUUCCCUCUCGGUUCUGAGCCCCCCGAAUAGUUCAUGUCUCAUCACGGUGUGGAAGAAGGGUCAGCUCUAGUCUCAUUUUAUCUAAACCAGCUUGUGCAGCUGCUCCUCAGAAGUUAGGUGCUUUUUGCCACGACUGCUUUGCAUGAUUUCCCACCUAUCUACCAGAGUGCACCCACAUUAGAGCUGGUGCUAACAGACCUCUUGCCUCUGGCUUCAGUUCUGCCCUCAUAAAGGGAGCUGCAUCUCUUUACCUCAGGACAGAAUUGGGCCCUAAGCAUGUGCGCAGGUUAAAAAAUAUUUAUGUCCACUGGUCCAAAUCCUCCACUGGGGUAAAGCAGCUGAGCUCCAUGGAGUGCUGCGCUGGUCCCGCUGAGUAUCUGAGCCCAAUGUGGCCAGCAGCUGCUCUGGGAAAAGCCUUCCUUGGGAAUCGCGCCGAUCCGCCUGCUUUGGACAAAUGCGUUAUGUGCAGGGUUCUUCUAUAAAGCAGGGCCCCCAGCUCUCCCUGCCUUGUACUAGGGAAGGGUAAUUAGUAAGACACACUGCAGGGUUACAAAAUGCAUUGAAAUACCUGAAAUCCCCCCUCCAGACUAAAGUAAAUCAGACAUGACUUUGACAAGGUGAAACCAAAGAGAUGAAACCAAUCCAUUCCGCAUGGGGAAUCGAUCUCCCCCCAAGGCCAUCGAUUCACAGCCUCAGCAGUCAAGGAAUGUCAGGCUGCCUGAUCUACAUUUCUAUAUGCAUCACUCUGGAUUAAAGGAUGGAGAAGCCCACCAUGUGCUGGGCAGUUUCCUGCUCGGUCACUCUACGUGCUGGCACCUGCUGAAAUUGACUGUUUUUUUAAAAAAAUAAUAAUUAUUCUUAGAGUAAGGUGAAUUCCUGGGAGCCUCACAGCUUCAUCUGCCUUGGCUCCUCGUCAGAAAAGGCCACAAGUUAAGCUGGG